rnacentral:tRNA from 2 species
AGAGGAUUGGCUGAGCGGCGAAAGCAACAGUCUUGAAAACUGUAGGAUGUUAACAGCGUCCCAAGGGUACAAACUUAUCCUCUGCCA